GGAAUCGGGGGGCCUUGGUAUUUUUUUGUUAAGCCAUUUAAGAAUUCAUGAUCUUGGUCCAGGGCUGGUAAUAUUGCGCCGCUUUCUUCUCCCUUCAGGGAAGAAGAGACACUAUUAUACCUGCACGCUCUCAGCAUACUACUGCUGCACUGUUGACUCCUUAACAUCUUCCGUGGAUUAGCAAUUUUCUCCAAAUCAGCCUCAAGUCUCCCUCAGAGGAGAGGAGCAUGGAAAGAUUUCUCAGGCUGGAUCUUCAAUGGGAGUUUGUGUGUAUGGUAAAACAUACAUACCGGAAACUUGCCAUCUCUAACUAUUGGCUCAGUGGCAUUAACUCCUGGCACCCACCAUUCUGCUGGAGGUCUGUCUGAGUUGGACCCUUCUAGAUCUCUGAUAUCACUUGUUCCAGAGGAAGCCAGCCGCCAUGAUGUGAAGACAUACAAAGGGCCCUAAGAAGAGGACCAUGUAGGGACAAUGACUUUCCAGGCAUAUGAGGGAGCCAUGUUGGAAGAUGACCCCAGCCUCCAUCAAGUCUUCAGAUGAAACUGCAGCCCCAGAUGACACCCCGAGCCUCAUAAGAGACCCUGAGCCAGAACCAUCCAGCUGAGCUGCCCCCAGAUUCCUCACCCUAGAAACUAGGUGAGAUAAUAAAUAAUUGUUCUAGACCA